GAUGAACGCUAGCGGCAGGCCUAACACAUGCAAGUCGAGGGAAGAGCUUUCGAGCUUCGACCUUCGUACGGGGGCGUAACGCGUAUACAAUCUGCCUUUCACAUAGGGUUAGCCCGAAGAAAUUUGUAGUAAUACCGAAUGGUAUAUAGGAGUGGCAUCACAUUUAUAUUAAUGCUGAGUCGGUGAAAGAUGCGUAUGCGUUCUAUUAGCUAGUUGGAGAGGUAACGCCUAUCCAAGGCGACGAUAGAUAGGGGUUCUGAGAGGGAUAUCCCACACACUGGUACUGAGAUACGAAACAGACACGUACGGGAGGAAGAAGUGAGGAAUAUUAGACGAUGGUAGGAUGACUGAUCCAGCCAUGCCGCGUGCAGGAAGACGGCCUUAUGGGUUGUAAACUGCUUUUGCAGGGGAAGAAUAAGGACUACGAGUAGUUUGAUGACGGUAAUCUGCGCAUAAGCAUCGGCUAACUCCCUG
rnacentral:rRNA from 1 species